UACGUAGGUGGCAAGCGUUGUCCGGAAUUAUUGGGCGUAAAGCGCGCGCAGGCGGUCCUUUAAGUCUGAUGUGAAAGCCCACGGCUCAACCGUGGAGGGUCACUGGAAACUGGGGAACUUGAGUGCAGAAGAGGAAAGUGGAAUUCCAAGUGUAGCGGUGAAAUGCGUAGAGAUUUGGAGGAACACCAGUGGCGAAGGCGACUUUCUGGUCUGUAACUGACACUGAGGCGCGAAAGCGUGGGGAGCGGACAGG
rnacentral:rRNA from 1 species